UCUUUUUUUCUAGUCCCCCGGUCCUGGACACAGGAAUCUGGUCAAAGGGCCUCAGCCUGAGCUGAGGAUUGGAGACUGAUCACCUCCUCUUGGCAGAGAACUCGAAUUCUGUUCUGGUCCGAUUUCUGGGGCAUGGAUCUGAGGGAAGGACAAUGAAAAGACUGAGAAAUCAUGUUCUUAACUAGGUAGUUGGAAAGCUCUUUAUAGAAUCAGCCACAAGAAGUUAUUGAUCAACUAUGGUUCUGAUUCUACUUUAUGUAUGACCAAUAAUUUAUUUCUUACUGGGUUGCAGCGAUGAUUAGAAUUCUAGUUCUAUGAUCUGAACAUUUGAUAAUCUUUUCUGAGGUGAUGGAGAUCUUUUU